rnacentral:rRNA from 1 species
AUUGAACGCUGGCGGCAUGCUUUACACAUGCAAGUCGAACGGUAACAGGCCGCAAGGUGCUGACGAGUGGCGAACGGGUGAGUAAUGCAUCGGAACGUGCCCAGUCGUGGGGGAUAACGCAGCGAAAGCUGCGCUAAUACCGCAUACGAUCUACGGAUGAAAGCGGGGGAUCGCAACACCUCGCGCGAUUGGAGCGGCCGAUAUCAGAUUAGCUAGUUGGUGAGGUAAAGGCUCACCAAGGCGACGAUCUGUAGCUGGUCUGAGAGGACGACCAGCCACACUGGAACUGAGACACGGUCCAGACUCCUACGGGAGGCAGCAGUGGGGAAUUUUGGACAAUGGGCGCAAGCCUGAUCCAGCAAUGCCGCGUGCAGGAUGAAGGCCUUCGGGUUGUAAACUGCUUUUGUACGGAACGAAACGGUGAGCUCUAAUACAGUUUGCUAGUGACGGUACCGUAAGAACAAGCACCGGCUAACUACGUGCCAGCAGCCGCCGUAACAC